GGGAGUCUUCGCUGAAAGCUGCCAAAAGCUGCUGUGCUUGUCUUCCUCCUUUCCCCAUCCCCACGCCCUUUCCGCAGGCGGAGUGUGCGUGGCCGCUGAUACUGUGAAUCCUGCGUGUUUUCCGUAAGGGGUACACAAACUGGUGAGGCGUCCUCUGUCCGUGUGGUCUCUGGUGGCUAAAAUAAAGCGAGGGAUGUUCCUUCAAGGACUGCGGUAGCCAUCUGAGCGGCUAACCAGGCCUGGUUAACGGCCAUGUCCCAUCCCACCUCCAGCCACCCUGGGGAAACCUCCCAGCGCCUUGGCCUCCCUGUUAGGGCUCUGACACAAGCUGGAAAAGUCCCAGAUCUGACUAGCAACUACAAGAAGGCUAAAUUCACUGUGUGUCUGGGUGUGAGUUUGUUUGAAAGGGCGAGAGGAAGUCGCCCUAAAGCUGGACGGCGUCAGGGGUCACCUCCCACUUCUGCGCUGAUGCUGCCGGAUGACAAGGAAACACCCUGUGUAUUGGGCCUGAUCCAAUUGUAUUGGUUUUGGCAGCAGGAUACAAUGAUUGAUGACAGCCAGGGAGUCGAGGGCUGCUUGGAAGAAGAGUUGGAUUCCCUUAGCGGUCUCUCCGUGUGCAUGACACUAGUUUCCUGCUGGGACAGGGACACGCAUAAGAAGGGACAAUGGAGCAGGGUGGCCCAUCCAGAUAACCUCUUCUAAUGCAUAUGGUGAGAUCUGACCUGCCAGUUCAAGAAGAGAAGGCAAAAAGCUGAUGGGAAAUUAAUUCUCAGGAGUUUGUCAAGACAUCUCCAACAAGUGAAGAUAAAUGGCAGAACAAAACUUCUAAAGAUAAUCCCAAGAAUAGGGAUGAAUGAAAAAGGGAAACACUAUUUUGCAUUUACAUCCAUCUUUUAGGGUAAAAGGCUUGGGGUAAGCACUGUGCUUUUGGAGGAUCUCGACCCUGUGUGUAACUUUGUGUUGCUUGUAACUCCUGAGACGUUUGAGCACCCCCAGGGUUAUUCGGGCCAUGUGUGUGGGGAGCAGAUCGCACAUUCACCUCGUUCAUUCUUUUUCUCGAGCGGAUGGACUGGGAGCCUGCAGAAAGCUUUUGGAUCCAGUCAUGUUGCCACUGAAAUCAAUGCAAACCCUCUCUUGUCUUCAGAAGCACCAUACAAGCAUUGAGAGUAGAGAGAUGAGAAUGCGUUUGGACUUUUGCAGGCUGAACCGGCAAGUACUUGAUGCUAUUUUGCAAAGGUGGAACGGCAUGCCCAAUCCCAUCAUUACAUUUACUGCCUUCCCUUGAUGAUUAUUAAUAGAAAUACUAAUAUAUCACUAAAUGUGUGUAUCUGGAAAUUCAGUUUCCCUGACCCUGUGAUCUUUGAGGCUUGGCAGGCUGAAAUAUGCACAAUGCAUAUUUUUAACCUGCAUUCACCUGGGCUGGAAGUUUAGAAGGGGCCAGCUCUCAUAGCUGGAGCCAGGCUUUCAGAAAACCUCCCCUGCCAUCUCAACCCCUGCCUAGGCAAUCCGUUUUUCAGAAACAUAGCAUUAGGCUGUGGAUGCUGAGCACUUUAAUAGACUUAGGAGCAACUGUCACACGGAGAUACUCAUAAAACUUCUGAAAAUUCGGCCCUCAACUUUGAGACCUGCAAAAAUAAUCAGAAUACUGUUGAGUCAGGGAGUCUGAGGUCCCCAUCCCACAUGGAGAUGGAAGCACCAAUGU
rnacentral:lncRNA from 1 species